AAGGAAUAAAUAGUAGAGAAAAUUUAGAAGCUUUAGACUGAAAUUUAUUGAAAGGAAAAAUAUGUGUGUCUUUCUUUUGUAUCUCAUCAUUUUGAUGUAUCUCUUUCUUUCUCUCUCUCUUGUUCU
rnacentral:ribozyme from 1 species